rnacentral:lncRNA from 1 species
GGGUCGCAGCGGAAGGAGACGUUGACGCGGGAGUCGGUAUGGACGCUGUCCGUGUUGGAAAUGUUGGGGUUGUAGAAGCUCACGUUGGCAAGGCUCUCGUCAAAGAGGGAGGAGAUGUAGGUGAGAUUGGUCUUCGACUCGACGGGGAUGUAGUAGGAGCCGAGGGCAAGGUCGCAUCCUCGCCGGCACGAAGACUCCGAUCGGAGAGGGAACGAAGCUAGGAGGAAGAGGGAGAAAAGAGACGAGGAAAUUGAUCGAAAGACUAGCUCGAGAUCAAGGUUUCUCGAUACGGCCAUCUUCGCGAGCGAAGCAGAAACCCAAACCCUAGACUUUGAAGCCAUGGCG